rnacentral:rRNA from 1 species
GACGGAGGGGGCAAGCGUUGUCCGGACUCACUGGGCGUAAAGGGUGCGUAGGCGGUCGGGCAAGUCUGGGGUGAAAUCUUCGAGCUUAACUCGGAAACUGCAUUGGAUACUAUUCGGCUAGAGAGUUGGAGGGGGGAUUGGAAUACUUGGUGUAGCAGUGAAAUGCGUAGAUAUCAAGUGGAACACCAGUGGCGAAGGCGAAUCCCUGGACAACAUCUGACGCUGAGGCACGAAAGCGAGGGGAGCAAACAGG